CAGCAGCCGCGGGAAUACGAAGGGUGCAAGCGUUAAUCGGAAUUACUGGGCGUAAAGCGUGCGUAGGCGGUUUGUUAAGUCUGUUGUGAAAUCCCCGGGCUCAACCUGGGAAUGGCAAUGGAUACUGGCAAGCUAGAGUGUGGUAGAGGAUGGUGGAAUUCCCGGUGUAGCGGUGAAAUGCGUAGAGAUCGGGAGGAACAUCAGUGGCGAAGGCGGCCAUCUGGGGCAACACUGACGCUGAGGCACGAAAGCGUGGGGAGCAAACAGGAUUAGAUACCCCUGUAGUCCCUGUCUCUUAUAC
rnacentral:rRNA from 1 species